AAGUUUAGGUUAAACAAACCAGGAGCCUUCAAAGCCCCAAACAAGAACAAAUCUUAACUUCU
rnacentral:tRNA from 1 species